rnacentral:rRNA from 1 species
UCAACACAGCCAUAUCACCCUGCAGCCCAAGACCAGUUACUCACUGAAGCUAAGCAGGGCUGAGCCUGGUCAGUAUCUGGAUGGGAGACCACAUGGGAAAACUAGGUUGCUUCUGGAA